GACUGACCAUAAGAAAUUAAUUCAUAUUUUUCAUGUGGUCGACUCGUUCAAUAGGCGGGAGCCAGCAGAAUUAGCUGUUUGCCCUACCUGAUCAAUAAUUUCACAUGUGUUUGUCUUUGCAGAGCAGAUUCCUCCACCUAGGCUAGAUACACGGAAACGAACCUGGUUUGUGGACUUCAAAUACCAGGUGGACCUUGAAGCUCGCAAAGCACUCUGGGACUCGUAGUCAGACUUCGAUGAUGGACUGAGCAGAGUGGAGAGUGGAUGAUGCAGUACCUCCGUGCGCCUGUCUGACAGCCCUUUCAGGGUGAAAGCUUUUGGUUUUAUCUUGUGCCAAACCACCUGUAUGUGUAUGACUCAUCUGUGAUGUGGAGUCUGCCUGACUGACAUGUUCUGCUGCUUGCGGGUUUCUCCGGCGCCAUCAGAGGAGGAGAGCCCACAGCGGCCCUCUCCCCUGGGAUGCCAUGAGAAUACUGACUCCAAAAAUAGAGGUAUCCUCCUCUCCUUCCACUUCAUCUGCUCUUCCAGGUACAGUAUCUAUGUGUUGCUUCUGUUUGUUUUGCAGGCCGGAGGACACACUCAGAGAAAUUAUCUGCACCACACUGAGAAAUGCUGUUGAUGGUUGCUGUCAAGUAUUGCAGGGAGAUUGCACAGCAGACUCGUAAAGUCAACCCAAGAUAAAAGACCCAGAUGGCAGGCAACAUUCCCACAACAUUGUCGGACAUCAUCUACAGGUUGGACUAAUGUUUGAAAGUUUUAAUCUCAUUUUAGGGGUAUUUGUCUUCUUAAAUAAUGUUCCUAUGAAGUUAAACAUUAACUAAGACACGAUGUUUUAGCUGCAACAUUCAGAGAAUGUAUGGAGGAUUAUUACUAUGGAGGAUUACUGCGGCCUCAGAAGACAGAAAGUUCUUUAUAAAACAUUGUUGUGAUGUGAUGUGAUGUGAUUUCUAGUAAGAGAAAAAAAAUCACUGAUGAAUUCCAUGUGUAUAGUUGAAUCUCUUGGUAUUUGUGAUGAUGAAGUGCUGCAUUGUCAGGUUGACAGUUUGAAUCUCCCUGAGGUGUUUUUCUUGUCUAUUCUUCAACUCAUCCACAGCUAAUGUGUGAGCCUACAAGAUUUAUUGUAGUCUGGACAGAGUAAAGAUUUGAAAAACCCUCAGACCCAGGUGAUUUAUCUGGUUUGUGGUCAGGUCAUUGUCGGAAGUUUUGCAUUUCUUGUAAGCAUUCGGUGUCUGUAAGGCUGAAUGUAAAGAGCAUCUUUGUAUUUGUGUUGUAUUCAGCAGUCAAGUGAUGACUGAUGCCACAAAAUAGAGAGUGCUAACGACAGUUGUAGCAUCUGUCAUCCAGUACUUAACCAUAACACGAGAUGUUUCAAUGUAAUUAUAUUCAGUUGGUGUGAUAAUAAGUAAAUCCUCUCAUUAAUUGGGUCUUAGGAUUGUGUAGCUCUAGCUGUCACAGCUAAUUGACCCCAAGAAUGAGGUGGAGUACAUCUGCCUCCAUUUAUGCACAACUCUAAUUAACACAACCUCCAGAACCAGAAAGGGAAGCAUGAGCGAGUGGAUGCAUCUGUGUGUGUGUGUGUGUGUGUGUGUGUGUGUGUGUGUGUGUGUGUCUGACAUGAGAUCUCUUGACCUCAAUCAAGCAAGUUUGACCAUGUGGUGAAAGAAGCAUUAAUGUACAGUUUUAAAAUAUUAUAUAUGAACAUACACACUGUGUCCCUCUGCUACAGUAAUUGGCGAUUUUAAAACUUUGUCCUAUUUUCUCGGUAGGUUCGGUCAAGCAGUCACAUAAGUUUUCCAUGAAAGAUCCUGCUUAAGUUAAAGGAUGGAAAUAUUAGCAACAAAAUGCAGUUUAGAUCCUGCUUAAGUUAAAGGAUGGAAAUAUUAGCAACAAAAUGCAGUUUUUCACAUCAUAUUUAAAGUACUGGUUUGGUCUCUCUGACUGAUAUAUUAAUAUAUAUGACACCAUAAUAUUAUUAAAAGUGAAGCAUCAGUGUGUCAGCCUCAGGUUACUGCUGUAGCUGCUGCAGGUGGAGCUAGUUUGAACUGCUUUGUAGCCAGUUUUGUUUUCAAAGACAGCGGAUAAAUGUGACAGGUCCUCAUAUAUUUAAACAAAGAAGAAAAAACAAAGGUCUGCUUUUUCAAGUGGAGCCAUGUAAAAAGUUUAGAGAGAUAAAAACUAUUUAUAGACACCUGAAAUGUGGUUUAGAUGACAUGCUUCUUUUUGUAUAAAGCUCAAACCUUUUGGAAACAACUGGUUUAUUUUACAAUGUGUUGUAUUUUAAAAGCUUUGGUGUAUUGUUCAUUAAGCAAAAGCUGUCAAUAAAUAUAGUGGUGCACAAAGUACAGUAUUUAACUGAAAUGUGGUGGAGUGGUGCUACAAAGUUGCAUAGAACAAGUACAAUCAAAAAAAUUAUGCUUCAGUUUAGUACUUGAGCAAACGUUCUUAGUUACUUUACACUACUGCAGACUACUCUAUUGCUUAAUAGUAGCAGAAGCUGGACGUUGACCAAGACUUUUCUGUUCACUUUCGUGCUUUCAUGUAAUCUCAGCUCCAUCUUGUUUUGUAAAACUGUUAGAGCUGUUUCAGUUCGAUGGUAAACUGAAGUCUGUCAGAAAACCCUGAAUCUCUGAUAACUGACUUUUUGGCUGCAGCAGAAACAGACUGUGAACACAACAACAGUUUGAUGUCAAAUCCAGCAGUUUUGGAGCAACAUUAUCAUCCAUUAGGAGUCGUGUUACUGGACACCUGGGAAAUCUAAGUAUUCACUGUGUUCACUGUCCUCUGAUGCUGUAGUGUUUGGUCGCUAACUCCUGAGGCUAAUAUUUGCCUCUUUAGCUGCUAAAUGAUCCACUAUGUCCUGGCCUAGUUGCUGAGUCAGUGUGUCUUGCUGUUUGGUGCUGAGCAGGUAGUGUACAGAGGCUUUUAGAGCUUUUCUGUUGUUUUGACUGAACACAACUUCCUGCUGCGGCUGAAAACAACGCUGAUGAGAGCGGUAUAGGAGAAGCAGCACAACAGAGUUGUGGGUCAGAAAACCAAAGCAAUGAUACGAGUUGAGUGAUAAUUUUCAGUCUGUUCAUCACAAUGAGCGACACUGUACUCGGAUACUUAUGUGAGCUAUUAUUAACCCUGUAAAACCCAAAUAUCGAGCAAAAUGAGC